rfam:Aedes aegypti strain Liverpool supercont1.788 genomic scaffold, whole genome shotgun sequence.
UGCCCAGCAACUCCUAUCCCUACCUCUUCGUGGUACUGGCCGGGGUACGAGUAACCUUGGGGAAGAUCGGGUAACCAACCCCCGGUGGGAACUUUGGUCGUAUGCUGACAGGGAAGG